rnacentral:misc_RNA from 1 species
CCAAUUUCUUUUUCAAAAUUUGUAGUUCUAAUGUAAAAACAAUAUUUGGCUCACACAUUUUUAAGGUUGAUUCUGAGUUCUAUCAGGAUGCAAUAGAUUUUCCAACCCACAUUCUGGUCUUAACCACUGCUUUCUAAGAUUCUAGUCAAAAUCUUUUUACAUAUAAGAAGACAUAGAGGUUUACUCAGGAGCAUCUUAACACUACAGAUAUCCAACAUUUCAAGCAACUACUGUCGCAAUAUGCCAACUAAAUUGCAGCGAGAAAGUACUACUAGGUUGUUUCUCCUUUGAACUUCUAUACCAUAUAGCCUAUUUAGCUUUAUGAUUUGAUAGUUUAAUCUUUAUUUUUCAUUGUUUGCUUUUCUUGGGUAGUUGCCUUCUGUUUAGUUACAAAAGUAGGUCCAGUGUGCCCCUUCAUCUCCUCUCUAGCCUUGUUUGUUAACUGAUUUUUCAUUCUGCCAGGAAUAAAAUAUUUGGUUUGAGAAAGUAUUGUUUCAUUAUUCUGCAAUCUUUACCUUUCAGAACCUUCUGUUCAUGCAAACCUGGUCUCCUCUCAUAUCAUAUCUACCCCUUUUUUUGAUGAAUUCAGAUUGGUCUUGAAGUACCAAUAUAUUAUGAAAAGGUAAUAAGAGCCAAAUUACUUGAUAGUAAAAAACAUCGUGGCAAAUUAAUAUUCUUUUCUGCCAUGUCCAUAUGAUCUUCAUUAGUUGUCAUGUUUAUGAAAUGUUUGUGAUGUCUUUUGUUUCUCUUGAUGCUGCAUAUUGUCAUUUGCUUCUUGAUACUUGUUUGUAACAACUUUUCCCUUUUCCUUGCAGCUGUGGGUCUUGUGGAUACCCUUUGAACUUAACAUCUUCCAAUCGAAUCACUUCCAACAUAGGUUCUGAAUAUCACAAAUCCAUAAAGAAAGGUUUCAUCUCCUUCCUUUCUGUUGAUCUUAGCCGGUUCACGCAGGUUGACGAGGUAAAUUGUCUUCCUUUCUACUGGGGCCGCUAUCGUUCAAAAACUAAACUCCUUUGCCGUAAAUGUGGAGCUCAUAUAGGCUAUGGUUAUGGAGAUUCUGCUGCCUUCUGCAGUUUUGACUCACCCAGCUCAUCCAGCACUGCUUAUAAAAAGUUUGCCAUAAAGAUCCGAGCUUUACAACCUUCACAUGAGUGCUAAAAAAUUUGGCAUGGAAGAUCAUUCAAAUGAUGUUCUUACCUCUGUGAUGCACCUGCCCGAUGAUUGCCUUACUAUUAUUUUCCAAUGGCUUGACUCUAGUACUGAUCGUGAAUCAUUUGGGUUAACUUGCCGUCGCUGGUGUAAUAUACAAAAUAUGAGCCGCCGGUCCUUACAAUUUCAAUCCUCAUUCACGCACAACCUUGCUUCAUCAUCUCAGACUAGCCUUCGUAUUGAUUCCUACCAUCUUCAUAAGCUGCUCACCCGUUUUCAGCAUUUGCACUACUUGUCACUUUCUGGUUGCACUGAGCUACCUGAUUUAGGCCUAACCCCAUUGCACUUGUAUGGUUCAAAGUUGCUCUCCCUUCAUCUUGAUUGCUGUUUUGGACUCACAGAUAAUGGACUUUCCCUGGUUGCUACUGGUUGCCCCUCUCUAAUGGUUAUUAAUCUUUCCCGAUGCAAUAUUACUGAUGUUGGGUUAGAAGCUCUAGCGAAUGGUUGCCCAGCUUUGAAGCAAAUAAAUCUUUCAUACUGUCCACUUGUUUCUGACUCUGGACUGAGAGCUCUUUCUCAAGCAUGCCAUCAGCUUCAAACGGUUAAGAUGUCUUGUUGCAGGGAAAUAAAUGGUAUUGGUCUUACAGGUUGUUCACCAACUUUAGCUUAUAUAGAUGCUGAGUCUUGUAACCUUGAAACAAAAGGGAUAAUGGGAAUUGUUAGUGGAGGUGGGCUUGAGUAUUUAAAUGUGUCUGGUAUAAGCUGUUCCAUUCAUGAAGAUGGUUUGGCAGCAAUUGGUUCAGGUUUUGCCACAAGGCUUAAAAUUCUCAACCUUCGGAUGUGCAGAACUGUUGGUGACCACUCCAUCAUGGCAAUAGCAAAGGGUUGCCCAUUGCUCCAAGAAUGGAAUUUGGCAUUAUGUCAUUCAGUCAUGAUUUCAGGAUGGAAGUCUAUAGGGUCCAACUGCAAUAAAUU